GAUGAACGCUAGCGGUAGGCUUAACACAUGCAAGUCGAGGGGCAGCAUGGUCUUAGCUUGCUAAGACUGAUGGCGACCGGCGCACGGGUGCGUAACGCGUAUGCAACUUGCCUCACAGAGGGGGAUAACCCGUCGAAAGACGGACUAAUACCGCGUACACUUGGGAUAGGGCAUCCUGACCCAAGGAAAUGAAAUUCGCUGUGAGAUAGGCAUGCGUCCCAUUAGCUAGUUGGUGAGGUAACGGCUCACCAAGGCGACGAUGGGUAGGGGAACUGAGAGGUUGAACCCCCACACUGGUACUGAGACACGGACCAGACUCCUACGGGAGGCAGCAGUGAGGAAUAUUGGUCAAUGGGCGAGAGCCUGAGCCAGCCAAGUCGCGUGAAGGAUGACUGUCUUAUGGAUUGUAAACUUCUUUUAUACGGGAAUAACAAGAGUCACGUGUGGCUCCCUGCAUGUACCGUAUGAAUAAGCAUCGGCUAACUCCGU
rnacentral:rRNA from 1 species